rnacentral:rRNA from 1 species
AACGCGAAGAACCUUACCUGGGUUUGACAUCCCCUGAUGACCGGAGAGAUUCGGAGUUGGUAGUAAUACCACAGGGAGACAGGUGCUGCAUGGCUGUCGUCAGCUCGUGUGGUGACAUGUUGGGUUAAGUCCCGCAACGAGCGCAACCCUUGUCUUUAGUUGCCAGCAUUCAGUUGGGCACUCUAAAGAGACUGCCGUGGUGAACACGGAGGAAGGUGGGGAUGACGUCAAGUCCUCAUGGCCUUUAUAUCCAGGGCGACACACGUGAUACAAUGGACGGUACAGAGGGAAGCCAAGAGGUAACUCGGAGCUAAUCUCAAAAAGCCGUUCUCAGUUCGGAUUGGAGUCUGCAACUCGACUCCAUGAAGUUGGAAUCGCUAGUAAUCGCGGAUCAGCACGCCGCGGUGAAUACGUUCCCGGGCCUUGUACACACCGCUCGCGA